rnacentral:lncRNA from 1 species
UGGGUGCAGUUUUUGUGCGCAGAAAUAGGUUUCACGUUCCAUGAGAUGGGACGCCCCUUCCUCGAGCUUAUCCAAUGUUGCAUGAUGAAAUAAAUUUUUUUGAUUCCUGACUUGAUUUUGAGACAAAAAUUUUUUUUAAAAUUAAAAUACCUUCUGGUUUAAUCAUGAAAAUUUAUUGAAUUUGACAAUCCUACCAAUC